AACGAACGCUGGCGGCAGGCUUAACACAUGCAAGUCGAACGCAUCCUUCGGGGUGAGUGGCAGACGGGUGAGUAACGCGUGGGAACGUGCCCUUCAGUUCGGGAUAACCCAGGGAAACUUGGGCUAAUACCGGAUACGUGCGAGAGCAGAAAGAUUUAUCGCUGAAGGAUCGGCCCGCGUCUGAUUAGCUGGUUGGUGAGGUAAUGGCUCACCAAGGCGACGAUCAGUAGCUGGUCUGAGAGGAUGAUCAGCCACAUUGGGACUGAGACACGGCCCAAACUCCUACGGGAGGCAGCAGUGGGGAAUAUUGGACAAUGGGCGCAAGCCUGAUCCAGCCAUGCCGCGUGAGUGAUGAAGGCCUUAGGGUUGUAAAGCUCUUUCGUCCGGGACGAUAAUGACGGUACCGGAAGAAGAAGCCCCGGCUAACUUCGUGCCAGCAGCCGCCGUAAGAC
rnacentral:rRNA from 1 species